GACGAACGCUGGCGGCGUGCUUAACACAUGCAAGUCGAACGGAAAGGCCCUGCUUUUGUGGGGUGCUCGAGUGGCGAACGGGUGAGUAACACGUGAGUAACCUGCCCUUGACUUUGGGAUAACUCCAGGAAACUGGGGCUAAUACCGGAUAGGAGCUCCUGCUGCAUGGUGGGGGUUGGAAAGUUUCGGUGGUUGGGGAUGGACUCGCGGCUUAUCAGCUUGUUGGUGGGGUAGUGGCUUACCAAGGCUUUGACGGGUAGCCGGCCUGAGAGGGUGACCGGCCACAUUGGGACUGAGAUACGGCCCAGACUCCUACGGGAGGCAGCAGUGGGGAAUAUUGCACAAUGGGCGGAAGCCUGAUGCAGCAACGCCGCGUGCGGGAUGACGGCCUUCGGGUUGUAAACCGCUUUCGCCUGUGACGAAGCGUGAGUGACGGUAAUGGGUAAAGAAGCACCGGCUAACUACGUG
rnacentral:rRNA from 1 species